rnacentral:rRNA from 1 species
UACGUAGGGAACUAGCGUUGUCCGGAAUCAUUGGGCGUAAAGCGCGCGUAGGCGGCCCGGUAAGUCCGUUGUAAAAGUCGAAGGCUCAACCUUCGAAAGCCGAUGGAUACUGCCGGGCUAGAGUACGGAAGAGGCGAGUAGAAUUCCUGGUGUAGCGGUGGAAUGCGCAGAUAUCAGGAGGAAUACCCAUAGCGAAGGCAGCUCGCUGGGACGUUACUGACGCUGAGGCGCGAAAGCGUGGGGAGCGAACAGG